GAUGAACGCUGGCGGCGUGCCUAAUACAUGCAAGUCGAGCGAAUGACGAGGAGCUUGCUCCUCUGAUUUAGCGGCGGACGGGUGAGUAACACGUGGGUAACCUGCCUGUAAGACGGGGAUAACUCCGGGAAACCGGAGCUAAUACCGGAUGAUAACGAGAAGCGCCUGCUUCUUUUUUGAAAGUCGGUUUCGGCUGACGCUUACAGAUGGGCCCGCGGCGCAUUAGCUAGUUGGUGGGGUAACGGCUCACCAAGGCGACGAUGCGUAGCCGACCUGAGAGGGUGAUCGGCCACACUGGGACUGAGACACGGCCCGGACUCCUACGGGAGGCAGCAGUAGGGAAUCUUCGGCAAUGGACGAAAGUCUGACCGAGCAACGCCGCGUGAGCGAUGAAGGCCUUCGGGUCGUAAAGCUCUGUUGUCAGAGAAGAACAAGUACCGGAGUAACUGCCGGUACCUUGACGGUACCUGACCAGAAAGCCACGGCUAACUACGUGCCAGCCGCCGCCGUAAUAC
rnacentral:rRNA from 1 species